rnacentral:rRNA from 1 species
AAUGUGUAGCAAUACACAUGUACAGCGGCGAACGGGUGAGGACUACAUGGGUAACCUACCCUCGAGUGGGGAAUAACUAGCCGAAAGGUUAGCUAAUACCGCGUACGCUUCCAAGACUGCGGUUUUGGAAGGAAAGCGAUACCAUGGGUAUCGCGCUCUUGGAUGGGCUCAUGCCCUAUCAGCUUGUUGGUGAGGUAACGGCUCACCAAGGCUUCGACGGGUAGCUGAUCUGAGAGGAUGAUCAGCCACACUGGCACUGCGACACGGGCCAGACUCCUACGGGAGGCAGCAGUAAGGAAUAUUGCGCAAUGGGCGAAAGCCUGACGCAGCGACGCCGCGUGGGGGAUGAAGGUCUUCGGAUUGUAAACCCCUUUCGGGAGGGAAGAUGGGAUGGGGUAACCCAUUCGGACGGUACCUCCAGAAGCAGCCACGGCUAACUUCGUGCCAGCAGCCGCGGUAAUACGAAGGUGGCAAGCGUUGUUCGGAUUUACUGGGCGUACAGGGAGCGUAGGCGGUUGGAUAAGCCCUCCGUGAAAUCUCCAGGCUUAACCUGGAAAGUGCAGAGGGGACUGUUCAGCUAGAGGAUGGGAGAGGAGCGCGGAAUUCCCGGUGUAGCGGUGAAAUGCGUAGAGAUCGGGAGGAAGGCCGGUGGCGAAGGCGGCGCUCUGGAACAUUUCUGACGCUGAGGCUCGAAAGCGUGGGGAGCAAACAGGAUUAGAUACCCUGGUAGUCCACGCCUUAAACGAUGGAUACUAAGUGUCGGCGGGUUACCGCCGGUGCCGCAGCUAACGCAG